GAAAUAAGUGAUUUUCACAUCUAUUUUAUUUUUUAUUUUGUGAUUUCGUCGUCUUCGUGCGACGUUGGUUUGUUCGUCGUCUUUGUGCGACGUUUUUUUUUUGUUUCUCUCAGGUAUUUGAUCAGUUCAGAUUGUCAGAUCAGCUUCGAUCCAGUGCAGAUCCAAUCAAUGACUUUGGCGUCAUCCACGUUGCAGAUCCGGAUACAGGGUUAUUCUGGAGAUUUAAAUAUAGUCAUAU
rnacentral:lncRNA from 1 species